rnacentral:rRNA from 1 species
ACAAUGCAGUCGACGAACUCUUCGGAGUUAGUGGCAGACGGGUGAGUAACGCGUGGGAACCUACCUUUAGGUACGGAACAACAGUUGGAAACGACUGCUAAUACCGUAUGUGCCCUAUGGGGGAAAGAUUUAUCGCCUAAGGAUGGGCCCGCGUUGGAUUAGCUAGUUGGUGGGGUAAUGGCCUACCAAGGCGACGAUCCAUAGCUGGUCUGAGAGGAUGAUCAGCCACACUGGGACUGAGACACGGCCCAGACUCCUACGGGAGGCAGCAGUGGGGAAUAUUGGACAAUGGGGGCAACCCUGAUCCAGCCAUGCCGCGUGAGUGAUGAAGGCCCUAGGGUUGUAAAGCUCUUUCAGCGAGGAGGAUAAUGACGUUACUCGCAGAAGAAGCCCCGGCUAACUUCGUGCCAGCAGCCGCGGUAAUACGAAGGGGGCUAGCGUUGUUCGGAAUCACUGGGCGUAAAGCGCACGUAGGCGGACUUUUAAGUCAGGGGUGAAAUCCCGGGGCUCAACCCCGGAACUGCCUUUGAUACUGGAAGUCUUGAGUCCGAGAGAGGUGAGUGGAACUCCGAGUGUAGAGGUGAAAUUCGUAGAUAUUCGGAAGAACACCAGUGGCGAAGGCGGCUCACUGGCUCGGUACUGACGCUGAGGUGCGAAAGCGUGGUGGAGCAAACAGGAUUAGAUACCCUGGUAGUCCACGCCGUAAACGAUGGAAGCUAGCCGUCUGGUAGCAUGCCAUUUGUUGGUCUCAGCUAACGCAUUAAUGCUUCCCUCCUGGGUUAGUACUUAUCGCAAGCAUUAACAUCUCCUAGGGAGUUGGA